ACGAAGUAAACGAAGUGUUCCUUUUAUAAUCGUCUAUCCGGUACAAAGUUAGUACGCUUUUUAUAUCGAAGUUGGAUUUUUCUCCAGAUACAGAUCCAGAUCCAGAUACAGAUUUUCUCCCAACUUCGGAAGUAGUGUGCUGGAUUCGCCUAAAGAUGCGCUAAACAACACAUCAAUUAGUUUGACAGAUAACAUUUCGGAAGAAAGUUCGGUUCGGAAGUCCCGACUUCCGAAUUCUAAGUUGAUGCUACGCCGACAAUACUGAUUCUGCGAGCAAGCAACGGCCGAUCAUUCCCCGCUGUACCGUGAAAUUGAAUUAAUGAUAAAACACUGCUGCAUGCCACCAUCACUGAUGAUUCAAUAUCGUUCGGCGACUAUCAUCGAGCUAUAUCACCAAAGGGAUACAAUAAAAAAUUAAACAGGAAAAAAAUGCGAGCAGCAUUAGUUACAGCGGCUUCAGUGAGUAUCCAGUUUUUCGCGAGCGGUAAUGGCCGCCAGCUUGCCUGCGGGUUAGUCUCUGAUUUGACAUUUCUGGAGGUCAACUGCACCCACCAUUCGAGCAUUUUGAUC